AAAAAAGGUAAGCUACUAAGAGCGAAUGGUGGAUGCCUUGACUGGUAAAGGCGAUGAAGGACGUACUAGACUGCGAUAAGCUACGGGGAGCUGUCAAGAAGCUUUGAUCCGUAGAUUUCCGAAUGGGGCAACCCAAUGUAUAGAGAUAUACAUUACCUAUAUAGGAGCGAACGAGGGGAAUUGAAACAUCUUAGUACCCUCAGGAAAAGAAAUCAAUAGAGAUUGCGUCAGUAGCGGCGAGCGAAAGCGCAAGAGGGCAAACCCAGUGCUUGCACUGGGGGUUGUAGGACUGCAAUGUGCAAGAGCUGAGUUUAGCAGAACAUUCUGGAAAGUAUAGCCAUAGAGGGUGAUAGUCCCGUAUGCGAAAAACAAAGCUUAGCUAGCAGUAUCCUGAGUAGGGCGGGACACGAGGAAUCCUGUCUGAAUCCGGGUCGACCACGAUCCAACCCUAAAUACUAAUACCAGAUCGAUAGUGCACAAGUACCGUGAGGGAAAGGUGAAAAGAACUGAGGUGAUCAGAGUGAAAUAGAACCUGAAACCAUUUGCUUACAAUCAUUCAGAGCACUAUGUAGCAAUACAGUGUGAUGGACUGCCUUUUGCAUAAUGAGCCUGCGAGUUGUGGUGUCUGGCAAGGUUAAGCAAACGCGAAGCCGUAGCGAAAGCGAGUCUGAAUAGGGCGCUUAGUCAGAUGCUGCAGACCCGAAACGAAGUGAUCUAUCCAUGAGCAAGUUGAAGCUAGUGUAAGAACUAGUGGAGGACUGAACCCAUAGGCGUUGAAAAGCCCCGGGAUGACUUGUGGAUAGGGGUGAAAGGCCAAUCAAACUUCGUGAUAGCUGGUUCUCUCCGAAAUAUAUUUAGGUAUAGCGUUGUGUCGUAAUAUAAGGGGGUAGAGCACUGAAUGGGCUAGGGCAUACACCAAUGUACCAAACCCUAUCAAACUCCGAAUACCUUAUAUGUAAUCACAGCAGUCAGGCGGCGAGUGAUAAAAUCCGUCGUCAAGAGGGAAACAACCCAGAUUACCAGCUAAGGUCCCUAAAUCUUACUUAAGUGGAAAACGAUGUGAAGUUACUUAAACAACCAGGAGGUUGGCUUAGAAGCAGCCAUCCUUUAAAGAAAGCGUAAUAGCUCACUGGUCUAGUGAUUUUGCGCGGAAAAUAUAACGGGGCUAAAGUAAGUACCGAAGCUGUAGACUUGCACACAACUUAGAUUAUUUAAGUUUAGAAUAAGUAGUUUAAGUUGUGUGCAAGUGGUAGGAGAGCGUUCUAUUUGCGUCGAAGGUAUACCGGUAAGGAGUGCUGGAGCGAAUAGAAGUGAGCAUGCAGGCAUGAGUAGCGAUAAUUAAUGUGAGAAUCAUUAACGCCGUAAACCCAAGGUUUCCUACGCGAUGCUCGUCAUCGUAGGGUUAGUCGGGUCCUAAGUCGAGUCCGAAAGGGGUAGACGAUGGCAAAUUGGUUAAUAUUCCAAUACCAACAUUAGUGUGCGAUGGAAGGACGCUUAGGGCUAAGGGGGCUAGCGGAUGGAAGUGCUAGUCUAAGGUCGUAGGAGGUUAUACAGGCAAAUCCGUAUAACAAUACUCCGAGAACUGAAAGGCUUUUUGAAGUCUUCGGAUGGAUAGAAGAACCCCUGAUGCCGUCGAGCCAAGAAAAGUUUCUAAGUUUAGCUAAUGUUGCCCGUACCGUAAACCGACACAGGUGGGUGGGAUGAGUAUUCUAAGGCGCGUGGAAGAACUCUCUUUAAGGAACUCUGCAAAAUAGCACCGUAUCUUCGGUAUAAGGUGUGGUUAGCUUCGUACUAGGAUUUACUCCGAAAGCGAAGAAACUUACAACAAAGAGUCCCUCCCG
rnacentral:rRNA from 1 species